rnacentral:rRNA from 1 species
AGGGAAUCUUCCACAAUGGACGCAAGUCUGAUGGAGCAACGCCGCGUGAGUGAAGAAGGUCUUCGGAUCGUAAAGCUCUGUUGUUGGUGAAGAAGGAUAGAGGCAGUAACUGGUCUUUAUUUGACGGUAAUCAACCAGAAAGUCACGGCUAACUACGUGCCAGCAGCCGCGGUAAUACGUAGGUGGCAAGCGUUGUCCGGAUUUAUUGGGCGUAAAGCGAGCGCAGGCGGAAUGAUAAGUCUGAUGUGAAAGCCCACGGCUCAACCGUGGAACUGCAUCGGAAACUGUCAUUCUUGAGUGCAGAAGAGGAGAGUGGAACUCCAUGUGUAGCGGUGGAAUGCGUAGAUAUAUGGAAGAACACCAGUGGCGAAGGCGGCUCUCUGGUCUGCAACUGACGCUGAGGCUCGAAAGCAUGGGUAGCGAACAGGAUUAGAUACCCUGGUAGUCCAUGCCGUAAACGAUGAGCGCUAGGUGUUGGGGACUUUCCGGUCCUCAGUACCGCAGCAAACGCAUUAAGCGCUCCGCCUGGGGAGUACGACCGCAAGGUUGAAACGUCUAAAGUAAUUGAC